GAUGAACGCUGGCGGCGUGCUUAACACAUGCAAGUCGAACGAGCCUUCGGGCUAGUGGCGGACGGGUGAGUAACGCGUGGGAAUCUGCCCUCAGGAGGGGGAUAACGGCCGGAAACGGCCGCUAAUACCCCAUAUGCCGAGAGGUGAAACGAAUUUCGCCUGAGGAUGAGCCCGCGUCUGAUUAGCUAGUUGGUGUGGUAAUGGCGCACCAAGGCUUCGAUCAAUAGCUGGUCUGAGAGGAUGAUCAGCCACACUGGGACUGAGACACGGCCCAGANNNCUACGGGAGGCAGCAGUGGGGAAUUUUCCGCAAUGGGNNAAAGCCUGACGGAGCAACGCCNNNUGAGGGACGAAGGCCUCUGGGCUGUAAACCUCUUUUUUCAGGGAGGAACAAAAUGACGUGUACCUGAAGAAUAAGCAUCGGCUAACUCCGUGCCAGCAGCCGCGGUAAGACGGGGGAUGCAAGUGUUAUCCGGAAUCACUGGGCGUAAAGCGUCUGUAGGUGGUUAAGUAAGUCAACUGUUAAAUCUUGAGGCUUAACCUCAAAAUC
rnacentral:rRNA from 1 species